GCGGGAUUGGUUCAGUGGCAGAAUAUUUCCUUCCCAAGGAAGAGACGCGAGUCCGAUUCUCGUAUCCCGCU
rnacentral:tRNA from 2 species